rnacentral:rRNA from 1 species
AAUUUUGGACAAUGGGGGCAACCCUGAUCCAGCCAUGCCGCGUGUGCGAUGAAGGCCUUCGGGUUGUAAAGCACUUUUAGCAGGAAAGAAACGGCGCCAGCGAAUACCUGGAGCUAAUGACGGUACCUGCAGAAUAAGCACCGGCUAACUACUAGCCAGCAGCCGCGGUAAUACGUAGGGAGCAAGCUUUAAUCGGAAUUACUGGGCGUAAAGCGUGCGAAGGCGGUUCGGAAAGAAAGAUGUGAAAUCCCAGAGCUUAACUUUGGAACUGCAUUUUUAACUACCGGGCUAGAGUGUGUCAGAGGGAGGUGGAAUUCCGCGUGUAGCAGUGAAAUGCGUAGAUAUGCGGAGGAACACCGAUGGCGAAGGCAGCCUCCUGGGAUAACACUGACGCUCAUGCACGAAAGCGUGGGGAGCAAACA